rnacentral:rRNA from 1 species
CGUAACAAGGUUUCCGUAGGUGAACCUGCGGAAGGAUCAUUAGUGAAUAAAUAGGGUGUCCAAUUUAACUUGGAACCCGACCUUCUCACAUCUAACCCUGUGCAUCUGUAUUUAAUGGCGAGCAAUUUUCGGAUUGUGAGCCAUUUCACUUUAUAAACACUAGUCUAUGAAUGUAAAAUUUUUAUAACAAAUAAAAACUUUCAACAACGGAUCUCUUGGCUCUCGCAUCGAUGAAGAACGCAGCGAAAUGCGAUACGUAAUGUGAAUUGCAGAAUUCAGUGAAUCAUCGAAUCUUUGAACGCAUCUUGCGCUCUCUGGUAUUCCGGAGAGCAUGUCUGUUUGAGUGUCAUGAAUUCUUCAACCCAACUGUUUCUUGUAAACAGCUGGUGUUUGGAUUCUGAGCGCUGCUGGCUUCGUGCCUAGCUCGUUCGUAAUACAUCAGCAUCCCUAAUACAAGUUUGGAUUGACUUGGCGUAAUAGACUAUUCGCUAAGGAUUCAAUGUUCGCAUUGAGCCAACUUAAUUAAGGAAGCUUCUAAUUGAAAAGUCUACCUUUAGAUUAGAUCUCAAAUCAGGCAGGAUUACCCGCUGAACUUAAGCAUAUCA